rnacentral:rRNA from 1 species
CCUACGGGAGACAGCAGUGGGGGAUAUUGCACAAUGGGGGAAACCCUGAUGCAGCGACGCCGCGUGGGUGAAGAAGCGCCUCGGCGUGUAAAGCUCUUUCAGCAGGGAAGUAAAUGACGGUACCUGAAGAAGAAGCCCCGUCUAACUACGUGCCAGCAGCCGGGGUUAUACGUAGGGGGCAAGCGUUAUCCGGAUUUACUGGGUGGAUAGGGGGCGCAGGGGGCGUUGCAAGCGAGGAGUGAAAGCCCGGGGCGCAACCCCGGUACUGCUCUUGGAACUGGGGGGCUAGAGUGCAGGCGGGGCAGGCGGAAUUCCUGGUGUAGCGGUGAAAUGCGUAGAUAUCAGGAGGAACACCGGUGGCGAAGGCAGCCUGCUGGACUGCAACUGACGUUGAGGCCCGAAAGCGUGGGGAGCAAACAGGAUUAGAUACCCGAGUAGUC